rnacentral:rRNA from 1 species
GACGAACGCUGGCGGCGUGCUUAACACAUGCAAGUCGAACGGAAAGGCCCUGCUUUUGUGGGGUGCUCGAGUGGCGAACGGGUGAGUAACACGUGAGUAACCUGCCCUUGACUUUGGGAUAACUUCAGGAAACUGGGGCCAAUACCGGAUAGGAGCUCCUGCUGCAUGGUGGGGGUUGGAAAGUUUCGGCGGUUGGGGAUGGACUCGCGGCUUAUCAGCUUGUUGGUGGGGUAGUGGCUUACCAAGGCUUUGACGGGUAGCCGGCCUGAGAGGGUGACCGGCCACAUUGGGACUGAGAUACGGCCCAGACUCCUACGGGAGGCAGCAGUGGGGAAUAUUGCACAAUGGGCGGAAGCCUGAUGCAGCAACGCCGCGUGCGGGAUGACGGCCUUCGGGUUGUAAACCGCUUUCGCCUGUGACGAAGCGUGAGUGACGGUAAUGGGGAAAGAAGCACCGGCUAACUACGU